rnacentral:rRNA from 1 species
GGGAACUACGAGCCUAAGCUUAAAACCCAAAGGACUUGGCGGUGCUUUAGACCCCCCUAGAGGAGCCUGUUCUAGAACCGAUAACCCCCGUUCAACCUCACCUUUUCUUGCCUAUACCGCCUAUAUACCGCCGUCGUCAGCAUACCCUGUGAAGGAAUCAUAGUAAGCAAAACUGGUAAGACCCAAAACGUCAGGUCGAGGUGUAGCACACGAAAAGGAAAGAAAUGGGCCACAUUUCCUCUCCUAGGAAACACGGAUUAUGCCAUGAAACAGCACAUGAAGGAGGAUUUAGUAGUAAGCAGAAAGCAGAGCGUUCUGCUGAACCCGGCCCUGAAGCGCGCACACACCGCCCGUCACUCUCCCCAGGCCCAAAACACUUAUAUUUUAAAAACCUAUUAGGGCAAAGGGGAGGCAAGUCGUAACAUGGUAAGUGUACCGGAAAGUGCACUUGGAAAAAC